AUGUAAAAGGCAAAGCUGGCGAAAGCCAGUGACGCAAAACUAUAGGGCCUUGAUUUGAAGGAACUUAACCCCUCCUUCAGAUUGUGGCAGCCAGGU
rnacentral:ncRNA from 1 species